rnacentral:lncRNA from 1 species
AUGAUGCACGAUAAGCUGCACAUGUUUAAAGUUUGGAUCUAUGCUCCUACCUAUCAGAUGAUCACCAAAAUCAAGAAGGGAUGCUGGAUUUUGUUGAUUUGGUCUACUUACAGAUGCUCAUCAUAUCCUGCUUGGACAGCUGCUAUCAUCUCUGGAGUCCUUAACCUCUAAGCUCAUCUCCCUUCUAUUCACCUGCUAUGAUGUCACCAGGUUAUCAUUCUACAGUAGAAAUCUGAUCAUGUCAUUCCCACGCAAAACACCCACCCAAAGGAACUGAAGUCCUUAGCAUAAUAAGGCAAGUAAUUAGUCAUUCAUUCUUUCAACAAUACUAAGCACUGAUUAUGUAACAGGCUCUGGGCUAGCUGGCUAAGUGUGGAGGUAUGGUGACAGACUGGAGAGAUGUGGCCUGUACCCUCAUGGAAUUUGUAUUCCAGUAGGGAGCCAAAUAAACAACCACGUAAGCAAUAUAGUUAUGAAUUGUAUAAAUGUGAAAUUGUUAUUAAGUAGCCAGGGUGCUGUGACUAAGUUCUGG